rnacentral:rRNA from 1 species
GGGGGGACAGGGUGACAGGUGGUGCAUGGUUGUCGUCAGCUCGUGUCGUGAGAUGUUGGGUUAAGUCCCGCAACGAGCGCAACCCUCGACCUUAGUUGCCAGCAUUCAGUUGGGCACUCUAAGGUGACUGCCGGCUAAAAGUCGGAGGAAGGCGGGGAUGACGUCAAAUCAUCAUGCCCCUUAUGACCUGGGCUACACACGUGCUACAAUGGGCGGUACAAAGGGUCGCGAACCCGCGAGGGGGAGCCAAUCCCAAAAAGCCGCUCUCAGUUCGGAUUGCAGGCUGCAACUCGCCUGCAUGAAGCCGGAAUCGCUAGUAAUCGCGGAUCAGCAUGCCGCGGUGAAUACGUUCCCGGGCCUU